UACGUAGGGGCCUAGCGUUGUCCGGAUUUAUUGGGCGUAAAGAGCUCGUAGGCGGUUCGGUAAGUCAGGUGUGAAAUCUCCACGCUCAACGUGGAGGCGCCACCUGAAACUGCCGUGACUCGAGUCCGGUAGGGGAGUGUGGAAUUCCCGGUGUAGCGGUGAAAUGACGCGAGAUAUCGGGAGGAACACCGAUGGCGAAGGCAAUCCCCUGGACCUGUACUGACGCUCAUGCAACGAAAGCGUGGGGAGCAAACAGG
rnacentral:rRNA from 1 species